rnacentral:pre_miRNA from 2 species
UUGUUUGCUAUUGCUGCAUCUUCAAGAUUCACAAGUUUUUUUCUUCUAUUUUUGCUCCAAACCCCCUUGAGAAUCUUGAUGAUGCUGCAGUGGCAAUUAA